rnacentral:rRNA from 1 species
UACGAAGGGGGCUAGCGUUGUUCGGAAUCACUGGGCGUAAAGCGCACGUAGGCGGACUUGUUAGUCAGGGGUGAAAUCCCGGGGCUCAACCCCGGAACUGCCUUUGAUACUGCAAGUCUUGAGUCCGAGAGAGGUGAGUGGAAUUCCUAGUGUAGAGGUGAAAUCCGUAGAUAUUAGGAAGAACACCAGUGGCGAAGGCGGCUCACUGGCUCGGUACUGACGCUGAGGUGCGAAAGCGUGGGAAGCAAACAGG